UUUAACUCUUUGCUGUUAAUCUUUGUUACUGCAGUGAAAAGGUUGCAAUGGUGAGCCUUGGGUGGUAAGCUGCUUGAUACAAGGGCCACCAAGGGUACUAUGCUAGGGGGCCGAACCUGGACAAGAGAACCUGUAGCAACUGCCGGAGUAUCCAUAUCAGCUCUUGCACAUAUUAAUACCCUGUGAAUAACGUCCAGGAUCACCAACAGAAACAAAUGACGUCUGUUUACAACCAAGAUCCUGAACACUUUGAUGACCUGUAACCCCAUAUGCCUGUUAGUUUUGUGCAAUUUGUUGGGUGGGUGAUACUGAAGGCUGAUGUCCAUAUUCAAAUCGGAGACUCUCCUUGAGGGUUGUACGACCGGAGUUCGUGAUAAGUGUGGCAUUGGCUUUAACUUUGAGUAUUCAAAAAUUGGAAGUGUGUGAUGAUGAGAAUAAGAGUGUGGGAAGAGGAAUAGCAGCGACAACAGCAACCAUGCUUUGCUGUAUUUUUUUUUAAUCUCCCUUUGGCAAAUUUCCAUGUACUGUUGCAAAAUGCGCAUUGACAUCGGUGUUAUCUUCAUUCUUUUUUUUUCAGGUACUAGAGCCGGACAAAACUGCUGUUACUGCACCUCAUCAGGUAUGGCGACCAAUGGAUGCAGGUGAAGGUUGCCUUAGAGAACAAAAUGGAUUAUGUAGGUCCCAAAACUUAAGGCCUUCAAGUCCGAAACAAAGCAGACGCCUUGUAUCAUCACAUUUAGACGAAGAAUUUGUAGAGAAUUUCCAUAGGGCAACCGUUCCAACAUGGCAUCCAGCAAGUAAAUAAUCAUGAGGGGGCGUAGCCGACUACUCCACUGUCAAAGGAAUGCUGCUUUUUUUUUUAGCUACCGUGCCUCAACAUUGACAUUUGAAGACAUGCUCCAAUAUUAGAAAACAAGGAUUAGUGCCUUCGAUGUGCAUAUAAAUUGUUCUUACCGCACAGAGCUGUCAUGUGAUUGAUGGAUUGGCACUACUGGUAUGAAUCAACUUGGUGAACCAUAAUGCAAGCAUUAGCGAAGACUACUAGCCACUGGAAACGUGAGAUUCUGAAUCUGGUUAACAGAUUUCCCGGUGUAUUACCGCCAAUUGCAGCAUAUCUGGUACAUACAACAUAGAGGUAAAAGAAUGAUGUGAUAGAGACUGUUGGGAAUGCUUCUGAUAUGGACUUGCUGCAGGGCCCUGUAAACUGGAUAUCCAAAGGACUUUGGACACUAUUUUGGUGGCUGAUUCUCAAACUUCUUGAUUGAGGGGUCCGCACGAAUAGCAGCAUGAUCCUUCUUACAAAGUCCCCCAAUUGAUGGGUCAUUAGUAACCAAACUUCCCCAACUGUUCUUCAAUAUGUGAAGGUCUCACAAUUAGUGAACAAUGCGUAGCAAGCCCGCUAUUGAAGAAUUGCCAAAAAAAGAUCUAAUAACGGUCCACUGGAAAACUAGGCCUUCUUUUGUAUCACCUUCUUAUUGCUUGUUUCUCACUCUAAAACGCGAUUCGGAAUCGCAAUUGAGAUGCGAGAAUUUUCUUUCUAUUUUGUUGCUAUUUCUUUGCUCCACUGGUUCUUGUGUAUCAACAAAAUUGACUGGUUAAUUCCAUCAUUUAUCAUGAGCCUAUAAGCUGCAUCGACAACAGCAAAGGGAUGUGGACUUAAAUCAACAAAUGCUGCGCCUUGGUGUAGAAACAGAAGCCAUUGUGGAAUUGGUCUCUCUGGUUCCAUUCUUUUUAACAGAACAAUUUUCUUUCACAUUUUGCCAUGUGCUUCAAUGUAUAUACAUAGAGAGAAAGUAGGGGUUAGGAUCCUUGGGAUUCUUGGGGAUGGGUUGGAUUUGGUCAAAAUGCCAAUUUUUGUAAUUAUGUAUGUUUUUUGGAUAAUCUUAUGAUUUUCAAU